AUAGAGUUUUUGAAAUUUAACGGAUUUGGCGGCAAGAUAGCCCAUUUAGAGGAACCUGCCCUAUAAACGAUGAUCCACGAAUGACUUCACUUUCUUUAGUAAACAGUUUGUAUACCGCUGUUGUCAGUUAGUUUCUAGAGGAAGCUUUCUACAAUGAUAAAAAUCAUUGACUUCAAGUAAAGGUGCAGCUUAUAAGAAAGUUAGAGGUGGGUUACAAUUUUAUGAAAAAAACGAAUAACAUUAUGAAAAAUUGUUUGAAGGUGGAUUUAAUUGUAAAGUUAAAAAUAACUUGAUAAGAGCACUAACUUGUG
rnacentral:rRNA from 1 species